rnacentral:rRNA from 1 species
CCUACGGGAGGCAGCAGUGAGGAAUAUUGGUCAAUGGGCUUACGCCUGAACCAGCCAAGUCGCGUGAGGGAAGACUGCCCUAUGGGUUGUAAACCUCUUUUGUCAGGGAGCAACGCCGGCUACGUGUAGCCGGACUGAGAGUACCUGAAGAAAAAGCAUCGGCUAACACAGUGCCAGCAGCCGCGGUAAUACGGAGGAUGCGAGCGUUAUCCGGAUUUAUGGGGUUUAAAGGGUGCGUAGGCGGAAUGCCAAGUCAGCGGUAAAAUCGCGGGGCUCAACCUCGCUCCGCCGUUGAAACUGGCGUUCUUGAGUGGGCGAGAAGGAUGCGGAAUGCGUGGUGUAGCGGUGAAAUGCAUAGAUAUCACGCAGAACUCCGAUUGCGAAGGCAGCAUACCGGCGCCCAACUGACGCUGAAGCACGAAAGCGUGGGUAUCGAACAGGAUUAGAUACCCUAGUAGUC